GUCCUCUAUCCACCACCAGGCUGCUCUUGUUCCUAAGGGAUUCAGCAGCAACUGUUUUUUAAACCUUGCCAAGGCAGAGAAGGAGGGAAAUAUCUUACUUUUGAGUGUAACUAGAAGACCAAAUGAGGAAAAAUGGAUGGAAGACAAAGGCAGUGCCCGGAACCCUUUCUCUGCAGUGACCUUGUCAAAGACCUCAGCCAUGAAGAGAAGUGAAGCUAAAAGGUAAGGUUAUACAAAUGGGAUGUUGACUUUGAGAAACUAUGGUUAGGGUUAGUUCAGGGUUAUUGUUAUACUUAUGGUUAGGGUUUAUACUCAUGGUUGGGGUUAGGGUUAGGAUUAGGUUCAGGGAUCAGGGUUCAGGUUUAGGGUAAGGAUUAGGGUUAUGUUUAGGUUUCACUGUUACACUUGAGGUUAGCUCUAGGAUGAG
rnacentral:lncRNA from 1 species